ACGGGAGGCAGCAGUGGGGAAUAUUGCACAUGGAGGAAACUCUGAUGCAGCAACGCCGCGUGAGCGAUGAAGGUCUUCGGAUCGUAAAGCUCUGUCCUUGGAGACGAUAAUGACGGUACCCAAGGAGGAAGCCCCGGCUAACUACGUGCCAGCAGCCGCGGUAAUACGUAGGGGGCGAGCGUUAUCCGGAAUUAUUGGGCGUAAAGAGUACGUAGGUGGCUGUAUAAGCGAGAGGUGAAAGCCCGGGGCUCAACUCCGGCGAGCCUUUCGAACUGUAUAGCUUGAGUGCAGGAGGGGAGAGUGGAAUUCCUAGUGUAGCGGUGAAAUGCGUAGAUAUUAGGAGGAACACCGGUGGCGAAGGCGACUUUCUGGACUGUAACUGACACUGAGGUACGAAAGCGUGGGGAGCAAACAGGAUUAGAUACCCUGGUA
rnacentral:rRNA from 1 species